rnacentral:tRNA from 2 species
UCGCCGAUAGCUCAGCGGUAGAGCUCUGGACUGUUAAUCGAGCGUCCGUUGGUUCGAAUCCAACUCGGGGAGCCA